AACUGAUACUACCUGCGGGAACCUGCGGAAGGAUCAUUACCGAGUUUACAACUCCCAAACCCAAUGUGAACGUUACCAAACUGUUGCCUCGGCGGGAUCUCUGCCCCGGGUGCGUCGCAGCCCCGGACCAAGGCGCCCGCCGGAGGACCAACCAAAAACUCUUUUUGUAUACCCCCUCGCGGGUUUUUAUAUAUCUGAGCCUUUCUCGGCGCCCCUUCGUGGGCGUUUCGAAAAUGAAUC
rnacentral:misc_RNA from 1 species